UAGAAUGUGGUGUAUAUGGUAGCACGAAGAAUUUUGAGUUCUUAAGACUGGGUUCAAAUCCUAUGAUUCUAG
rnacentral:tRNA from 1 species